UCUAAUGUGGCAGAUUAGUGCAAUGGAUUUAAACCCCAUACAUAAAGUAAACUUUCUUUAGAA
rnacentral:tRNA from 1 species